UUGGUCAAUGGACGCAAGUCUGAACCAGCCAUGCCGCGUGAAGGAUGAAGGUCCUCUGGAUUGUAAACUUCUUUUAUCUGGGACGAAAACGGGAUUUUUAUCUCAAUUGACGGUACCAGAGGAAUAAGCACCGGCUAACUACGUGCCAGCAGCCGCGGUGAUACGUAGGGUGCAAGCGUUGUCCGGAAUUAUUGGGCGUAACGAGCUCGUAGGCGGUUUGUCGCGUCUGCUGUGAAAACCCGAGGCUCAACCUCGGGCCUGUAGUAGGUACGGGCAAACUAGAUUGCGUUAGGGGAGAUGGGUAUUCCUGGUGUAGCGGUAGAAUGCGGAGAUAUCAGGAGAAACGCCGAUGGCGA
rnacentral:rRNA from 1 species